UGAUGUAAUAUGUCAUUAUUUCAUUUAGAUACGGUGCUUUGCAGAAAAAUUAUAUUCUUCGAGCGUUAGUGCUACAGUCGCACAUGCUACUUUUAGACAAUUGAUGACGUCAGGAUCUGUUACAGUAUCUACAAACAUUAAAGAAACAUCCAGUACAUGAAUAAACAUGGAUGAGGUCAUUACAAAAGAAAUUCUAUCCUCAAACAAUGGGAAUCUUCAAAGAAGCUGGUAAUAAUAGAAGGUGAGAAAGUGUUUUGCGUGGGUG